CUCUAUUAGAAAUUAUUAAUAGUAAAAUCUGCUCAAUGAACUUAAAUAGCCGCAAAAUCGUGCUAAGGUAGCAUAAUCAUUCGUCUUUUAAUUAAAGACUAGGAACAAAAGAUUUAACAUUUUAAUUUAUAUCUUAAUUCCAAACAUUUAAAAUUAUCUUAAAAGUAAAAAGACUUUUAUAAAAAAAAAAGACGAUAAGACCCUAUUGAACUUAACUUCAGUUUAAUUGGGGUAAUUAAUUAAUUAUUAUUUUAAUACAAUUAUUUCAUAAAUAGAUCUUGUUUAAUAAAAUAUGAUCAAGUUACCGUAGGGAUAACAGCAUAAUUAAUUUUUACAGAUCUUAUAUAAAAAAUAUAUUAUGACCUCGAUGUUGAAUAAUAACUUUAUAUACGCAAUAGUUUAUUAAAGAAGUCUGUUCGACUUUUAAAUAAUUACA
rnacentral:rRNA from 1 species